CUACGGGGCGCUGCAGUGAGGAAUUUUGCGCAAUGGGGGAAACCCUGACGCAGCAACGCCGCGUGAGCGAAGAAGGUCUUCGGGUCGUAAAGCUCUGUCAAGUGGGAAAAAAAUUCUUUGAUGAACAGUCAAAGGACUUGAUGGUACCACUGGAGGAAGCACCGGCUAACUCCGUGCCUGCUGCCGCGGUAAUACGGAGGGUGCAAGCGUUGUUCGGAAUUACUGGGCGUAAAGAGCGUGUAGGCGGUUUGACAAGUCAGAUGUGAAAGCCCCGGGCUCAACCCGGGAAGUGCAUUUGAAACUGUUUCACUAGAGUAUGGGAGAGGAGAUUGGAAUUCCUGGUGUAGAGGUGAAAUUCGUAGAUAUCAGGAGGAACACCCGUGGCGAAGGCGAUUCUCUGGACCAAUACUGACGCUGAGACGCGAAAGCGUGGGGAGCAAACAGGAUUAGAUACCCGUGUAGUC
rnacentral:rRNA from 1 species